AAUCGAUUGUUUGGUUUUUUCUGAAAAACUUUCAAGUCUCUGUAAUUGACAAGGAAAAAUUUGUGGAUCAUCCAACAAUCGAUUGUCAGGCUAGACAAUCGAUUGUUUGAAUUUUUUUUUCUGGAAAAAUUUUUCAGUCUGGAAACGUUUCAACUCACAAAAGUUAACUGCCAGAAUUUUAAACGAUUCAGACAAUCGAUUGUCUAGCC
rnacentral:lncRNA from 1 species